rnacentral:rRNA from 1 species
AGAGUUUGAUCCUGGCUCAGAACGAACGCUGGCGGCAGGCUUAACACAUGCAAGUCGAACGGGCGUAGCAAUACGUCAGUGGCGGACGGGUGAGUAACGCGUGGGAACAUACCCUUUGGUUCGGAAUAACUCAGGGAAACUUGAGCUAAUACCGGAUACGUCCAGGAGCGAUCCUGGGGAAAGAUUUUAUCGCCGGAGGA